rnacentral:rRNA from 1 species
GACGAACGCUGGCGGCGUGCUUAACACAUGCCAGUCGAACGCGCCUGUCCUCUGGGUUUCUGGGGGGUGGGUGAGUGGCGAACGGGUGAGUAACACGUGAGUAACCGGCCCCCUUCUUCGGGAUAACGGUCUGAAAGGGCUGCUAAUACCGGGUAUUCACUGGUCUCCGCAUGGGGUCUGGUGGAAAGGUUUUUUUCUGGUGGGGGAUGGGCUCGCGGCCUAUCAGCUUGUUGGUGGGGUGAUGGCCCACCAAGGCUUUGACGGGUAGCCGGCCUGAGAGGGUGACCGGUCACAUUGGGACUGAGAUACGGCCCAGACUCCUACGGGAGGCAGCAGUGGGGAAUAUUGCACAAUGGGCGCAAGCCUGAUGCAGCGACGCCGCGUGAGGGAUGGAGGCCUUCGGGUUGUGAACCUCUGUCGCCCGUGGUCAAGCCGCGACGUGGGUCGUGGUGAGUGUAGUGGGUAAAGAAGCGCCGGCUAACUACGU